rnacentral:misc_RNA from 1 species
GAAUUUUUAAGCUAUGGGUUUGUUUAGGAGUUUUGGGUUGUGGCUGAGUCUUGAAUUAAUCAUUAUUUUCCUGGUGUCAGGGGUUUUGAGGUUUUCAUUGUGCCUUUUCUAUUCACAGUAUAAUUUAGGUUUGCUUGAUUAAUCAUUUCUGGGGCUUAAUUUUGUAUAUUUGUAAUGGGUACUUUUUGAAAAAUGAAAUUUCCCUAUUUUAUUGCCUGCUUUACUAUAGUUGAGAUCAUUUCUUUUUCCUCUUUCUCCCCUUUUUUUUUUAAAUUUGGAGUUUUUGUUUUGUGGACUUCAGGAAAUGCUUUGAGUUACAGGUGAAAUUUCUGUUUGGUUGCAAAGAUAACUGCUAAAUAGUGUGAAUGGGUAUUUAUGUGCUGUUUUUUUUGAGGCAUUUUGGAUAUUUGUGCUUUUGGCAAUGCUUUGACUGAGCAAGUAGUAAAAAGAUACUGAUAGCUUUCCUUCUUGUUUUUAACCUCAGAUGUGAAGUAGCCCUGAGUUAGACUCGAAGAGAUACAAACUGGACUUACUCUUUGUUGAUCUGAAAGUUGUCAAUGGGCGGUGUAAAUAGUUCA